GGUGAGGUAAAGGACCUGCCUGGUGUGGUUGAUUCAGACCUUUAGGUUAGUAGAUAGGUGAGGUAAAGGACCUGCCUGGUGUGGGUUGAUUCAGACCUUUAGGUUAGUAGAUAGGUGAGGUAAAGGACCUGCCUUGUGUGGGUUGAUUCAGACCUUUAGGUUAGUAGAUAGGUGAGGUAAAGGACCUACCUGGUGUGGGUUGAUUCAGACCUUUAGGUUAGUAGAUAGGUGAGGUAAAGGACCUGCCUGGUGUGGGUUGAUUCAGACCUUUAGGUUAGUAGAUAGGUGAGGUAAAGGACCUGCCUGGUGUGGUUGAUUCAGACCUUUAGGUUAGUAGAUAGGUGAGGUAAAGGACCUACCUGGUGUGGGUUGAUUCAGACCUUUAGAUAGGUGAGGUAAAGGACCUGCCUGGUGUGGUUGAUUCAGACCUUUAGGUUAGUAGAUAGGUGAGGUAAAGGACCUGCCUGGUGUGGGUUGAUUCAGACCUUUAGGUUAGUAGAUAGGUGAGGUAAAGGACUUGCCUGGUGUGGGUUGAUUCAGACCUUUAGGUUAGUAGAUAGGUGAGGUAAAGGACCUGCCUGGUGUGGGUUGAUUCAGACCUUUAGGUUAGUAGAUAGGUGAGGUAAAGGACCUGCCUGGUGUGGGUUGAUUCAGACCUUUAGGUUAGUAGAUAGGUGAGGUAAAGGACCUGCCUGGUGUGGGUUGAUUCAGACCUUUAAGUUAGUAGAUAGGUGAGGUAAAGGACCUGCCUGGUGUGGGUUGAUUCAGACCUUUAGGUUAGUAGAUAGGUGAGGUAAAGGACCUGCCUGGUGUGGGUUGAUUCAGACCUUUAGGUUAGUA